CGUGUAGGCGGCUUCAUAAGUCUGAUGUGAAAGCCCUGGGCUCAACCUGGGAAGUGCAUUGGAUACUGUGAGACUUGAGUACGGGAGAGGGCAGUGGAAUUCCUAGUGUAGGAGUGAAAUCCGUAGAUAUUAGGAGGAACACCGGUGGCGAAGGCGGCUGCCUGGACCGAUACUGACGCUGAGACGCGAAAGCGUGGGGAGCAAACA
rnacentral:rRNA from 1 species